GACGAACGCUGGCGGCGUGCUUAACACAUGCAAGUCGAACGGAAAGGCCCUGCUUUUGUGGGGUGCUCGAGUGGCGAACGGGUGAGUAACACGUGAGUAACCUGCCCUUGACUUUGGGAUAACUUCAGGAAACUGGGGCUAAUACCGGAUAGGAGCUCCUGCUGCAUGGUGGGGGUUGGAAAGUUUCGGCGGUUGGGGAUGGACUCGCGGCUUAUCAGCUUGUUGGUGGGGUAGUGGCUUACCAAGGCUUUGACGGGUAGCCGGCCUGAGAGGGUGACCG
rnacentral:rRNA from 1 species